ACAAACUUUCUAAAGUUGGAGGUAAAACCAUCAAGACAAAUACAAAAAAAUGUGAUGCAAAGAUCCCCAAGCGAUCAGCAUCUAUCAGGAAGUGGUCAAAAAAUAGAAAACACAGGAGAUGGUAUGCAUAUAAACAAAUAUUUCACGAGCAGCUGGAACUGGUUUAGUAAACAUGGUAAUCUUUCUUGUCAUGAAUGCUGUCGCUCAGUUCGAGCUUGGGCGUUUCCGUAGUGUUGCAUAUUAAAAAUUAACAAAUACAAUCAACACGCUGCUAACAUAAUAAUCAAUAGUCUCCCCUCUAUAGAAUAGCCGCUUUACCAUUCUAAACGAUGGAGGGGAAAACUUUUCUGAAGCGAUUACAAAUUAAUUGCCAAUAAGCGGUGUAUAGUAAUCAAGUAGUGACGUUACUAAUUUAUGAUUUUUUACUGGUUUCCGGUUUUUUAAAAGUUUUCCGGAGAGUAAUAUCACAAAGUGUUGUAAAAUAUUUUCGAGAGCAAAGUAGCGUUAAAGUUGACGUCAAUAGAAGUGAUAGCGUCAAGUGGCGUUAAACCCUACGCCAAAAAUCUUUUACGAAGGUGGGUACCUUAAAUAGCGUCAAACCCCAAUAUUACUACUACUGCAGAUCUUUCAGAAAAAAUCCCACUGCUCUGGAUUGAAGAAAGACGGACGACCGAGGAAAAUAGUACUUAACCUACAAAAAUACAAAGACAAAAUAUGAAUCUUGAAAGAAUCUCAUUGACUAAAAAGCCCAAAUUUCUUCAUUAACAAAGACAUUUCUCGUGAGAUUGUUGCUGUUUGAAAAAAAGUUAUUUGCGGAAGUCAAACAACGGCGCUCAAAUGGUGAAAAUGUAACCGUAAGAUAUGACAAAACUAUUUAUUAUAACAUUAAUUCUAAAAUUAAUCUUAACAAAUUUCUUUAAAAGCUUUUGAUGCAGCCGAUCACCAUUUUCCACCAUAUUUCAAUUUAUAAACUCAAGUACUACAAAUUAAAAAAUAAAAUUUCAAAAUGGUUAUCAAUUUAACCGAAAAUAAUUUGUACCAUUUAACUAUAAUAUUCAAACCACUUUUCAUAAUAUAACCUGAGAAGUCUCA